UACAGAGGUCUCAAGCGUUGUUCGGAUUCAUUGGGCGUAAAGGGUGCGUCGGUGGCGCGGUAAGUCGGGUGUGAAAUUUCGGAGCUUAACUCCGAAACUGCAUUCGAUACUGCCGUGCUUGAGGACUGGAGAGGAGACUGGAAUUUACGGUGUAGCGGUGAAAUGCGUAGAUAUCGUAAGGAAGACCAGUGGCGAAGGCGGGUCUCUGGACAGUUCCUGACGCUGAGGCACGAAGGCCAGGGGAGCAAACGGG
rnacentral:rRNA from 1 species